rnacentral:rRNA from 1 species
AGUCACUGACAUUAGAUACCCGCGUAGUCCAGGGUGUAAACGCUGCAGACUUGGUGUUGGAAGCCCUUUGGGGGCAUUCAGUGCCGGAGAGAAGUUGUUAAGUCUGCUACUUGGGGAGUACGUCCGCAAGGAUGAAACUUAAAGGAAUUGGCGGGGGAGCACCGCAACGGGAGGAGCGUGCGGUUUAAUUGGAUUCAACACCGUAAAACUCACCAGGGAAGACUGUUACAUGAAGGCCGAGAUGAAGACUCUGCUAGAUUUUUCAG